rnacentral:rRNA from 1 species
GAUGAACGCUGGCGGCGUGCUUAACACAUGCAAGUCGAACGAAGCACUUUAUUUGAUUUCCUUCGGGACUGAUUAUUUUGUGACUGAGUGGCGGACGGGUGAGUAACGCGUGGGUAACCUGCCUUGUACAGGGGGAUAACAGUUGGAAACGGCUGCUAAUACCGCAUAAGCGCACAGCAUCGCAUGAUGCAGUGUGAAAAACUCCGGUGGUAUAAGAUGGACCCGCGUUGGAUUAGCUAGUUGGUGAGGUAACGGCCCACCAAGGCGACGAUCCAUAGCCGACCUGAGAGGGUGACCGGCCACAUUGGGACUGAGACACGGCCCAAACUCCUACGGGAGGCAGCAGUGGGGAAUAUUGCACAAUGGGCGAAAGCUUGAUGCAGCGACGCCGCGUGAGCGAAGAAGUAUUUCGGUAUGUAAAGCUCUAUCAGCAGGGAAGAUAAUGACGGUACCUGACUAAGAAGCACCGGCUAAAUACGUGCCAGCAGCCGCGGUAAUACGUAUGGUGCAAGCGUUAUCCGGAUUUACUGGGUGUAAAGGGAGCGCAGGCGGUGCGGCAAGUCUGAUGUGAAAGCCCGGGGCUCAACCCCGGUACUGCAUUGGAAACUGUCGUACUAGAGUGUCGGAGGGGUAAGCGGAAUUCCUAGUGUAGCGGUGAAAUGCGUAGAUAUUAGGAGGAACACCAGUGGCGAAGGCGGCUUACUGGACGAUAACUGACGCUGAGGCUCGAAAGCGUGGGGAGCAAA